CUUGCGUGAAAGAGGGCAGAAGAUAAGGCAUCGGUCUGGAUCUUUAAGAGUCCCCAGCUACUGCAAAACUCGUCCUGCGCAUAUAAGAAGCAGCACCGUUUAUGACUCACUACUCAUAGGUUACGGGACUGGCAUCUACAUUGUGAAAGAAAACAGCUGGUUUAUCCAAUAGUUUCCUCUGUUGAGUCUAUGGAACCAGUGCAGAUUAACUUAAUAAAAUUUUCCCAGCAUCAUCUUCUGAUGUUGUUUUAUCUGCUAAUGACUAAGUGUUCACAUAAAACAAGAAAAAAAAGACAGUAAGACAGAAGCUACAGCAAUGUCACUGGCUAGCCUCUGAGCAGUGUAAAAACAUUACUACUUGGAAGUAGAACCAGCCUUAAUAAAACAGAAGCACAUAUCUUCUAGGAAUAUUUCUCAGGGGGAAAUCCUAUCUUAAAAAUUCUGUCAGCUCUUUUUCAUAAACAGGUUCAUUAUUUUUCAAUGAAGUUCCACAAAUAAACAGUGUUUAUUGGUUAAUCUGUAAAUUAAAGUUGGUGCUUUACUGCCAA